GAUGAACGCUGGCGGCGUGCCUAAUACAUGCAAGUCGAGCGAACAGACGAGGAGCUUGCUCCUCUGACGUUAGCGGGGGGCGGGCGGGUAACACGUGGAUAACCUACCUAUAAUACUGGGAUAACUACGGGAAACCGGAGAUAAUACCGGAGAAUAUAUUGAACCGCAUGGUUCAAUAGUGAAAGACGGUUUUGCUGUCACUUAUAGAUGGAUCCGCGUCGCAUUAGCUAGUUGGUAAGGUAACGGCUUACCAAGGCAACGAUGCGUAGCCGACCUGAGAGGGUGAUCGGCCACACUGGAACUGAGACACGGUCCAGACUCCUACGGGAGGCAGCAGUAGGGAAUCUUCCGCAAUGGGCGAAAGCCUGACGGAGCAACGCCGCGUGAGUGAUGAAGGUCUUCGGAUCGUAAAACUCUGUUAUUAGGGAAGAACAAAUGUGUAAGUAACUAUGCACGUCUUGACGGUACCUAAUCAGAAAGCCACGGCUAACUACGUG
rnacentral:rRNA from 1 species